GAAGCGGGGAGGCAAGUCCGCAAGCCAGAAUAAAAAUAACUUCAAAUUUUUUGGAAUACAGAUUCCCGUCGUUAACGUGGAAUAUGAAAAGAGUUUUAACCAAUCAAAACUCACCCAUGAAAUAGGAUAAAUAACACCAUUGACUAUCACAUUUAUGAUUCUACUUUAAUGGUCAGAAGUUUUUCAGAUAUCAUACAUUUUUUAACAUGGUCGAACCCUAAAUAAGGGAGAGUUGCAGAAAAUUUUUCUGCAACGUGGAUGCAGACAAUGUGAGCUCGAGACAACCUGCAUUUUCGAGGCAGACGUGGAUGGGUCCCUCCUCCAGGCUGGUACUUAAUACCAGUCCCUAUAGAAUCGGGUGUCAAAAGCUUUGCUGGUCGACACGUGUCCAGUUCCAAUUCUCUUCYAAGUUCAAACUCUCUCCUAUCGAAGAUGCCUCGUCUCUGUCUCUCAUCAUUUCGUGCUUCAAGCCAGCAAACAAUGAAUGAACAACCAGGAUUCGAGAUCCGUCCGGUGGCAAUCAUGGGUGGUAGUAGCCAGUUGAUCUCUGUUCAUCCUGAAGAGCUCAGGUUCCAAUUUGAGCUGGAAAAACAAAGCUAUUGUGAUCUCAAGGUAGCGAACAACAGUGAGCACCAUGUUGCCUUCAAGGUUAAAACCACUUCACCCAAGAAGUACUUUGUGCGGCCAAAUACUGGUGUUGUUCAACCUUGGGAUUCAUGUGUCAUAACAGUCACCUUGCAAGCACAACGAGAAUAUCCUCCAGAUAUGCAAUGCAAGGACAAAUUUCUCCUACAGAGUACAAUAGUGCCUCCAAAUACUGAUGUUGAUGAGAUCCCUCAAGAUGCUUUCAAUAAAGAUGGUGAAAAGACAAUAGAGGAAUUCAAGCUUAGGGUAGUAUAUACCUCUCCUGCGGGUCAUGGGAACUCUGAAGAUGAGUCAUCACUCACAGUGAGCUCCAAGCAGAGCCACAGCAACAACCAUAUACUUAGAAACUCAAGUAUUGAUGAUAGCCUGCAACGAUGUCUGGAACGAGCAAUUCUUUAUCAACAGUGGACUCGACAGCAAUUGAUUCAACCAUGAAUGCAUCGAGAUCCCUUGGAACCUCCUUCACCACCUCUGACAUAAGCCAUUCUYUGCARAUUACCCAACACAAAUUAAAUGGGUCCAAUUUUUGUGAAUGGUUUCAAUCCGUUUUGUUAGUGAUUCGAGGAAAAGGAAAAGUGGGUUACCUUACUAGUGAAAUCCCUCCUCCAGCGAGCAGUGAUGCGAGUUACAAGACAUGGGAAGCUGAAAAUUCCAUUGUCAUGGUGUGGUUAAUCAAUUCCAUGGAGCCGCAAAUAGGAUGCACGUAUAUGUUUUACAAGAAUGCUCACGAAAUAUGGAAGGUUGUUCAAGAGAUGUACUCGGAUCUUGGAAACACGUCUCAGUGUUUUGAAAUUCAUUCUCUCCUACGGAACAUAAAGAAGGGAUCAAUGUCAGUAGCAGAGUACUACAACAGGCUGAUUGAUCUAUGGCAAGAAAUGGAUUUGUUUUAUACAAUUCCAUGGAAGUGUACUGAUGAUGGAGUAUUGUACAAUCAAGUCCUUGAGAAAGAUCGAGUAUUUGAUUUUCUUCAAGGACUUAAUAAAGACCUGGAUGAAGUACGAGGUUGUAUUCUUGGAAUCAAACCCCUUCACUUCAUGAGGUGUUCUUUGAGGUUCGAUGAGAAGAAAGCAGGAGGAAAAUCAUGCUGAACCCAUCCUCACACGGAAUCCUAGAGGAACAAUCUCAAGGAUUUGCACUUGCAUCUACUCGGUCUCAACCUCAGAAGAAAAAAAAACCACCAGUGGUGUGAACACUGCAAAAAGUCGUAUCACACAAAGGAGACUUGCUAGGACAUUCAUGGAAAACCUCCAGAUUGGAAACCACGGAAUCAGAGGAAAGGCAACCCUUCAGCUCAUGUAGCCGAAUCUACUGAGACAAAGAAACCUAACACAUCAGCUUUCACACCGAAACAAAUGGAGAUUUUAAGGUCUCUUCUUCACCAACAACAGAUUUCUGAGGCAUCAAGUUCUACACCUACAGCAGCAAUUGCACAACGAGGAUCCGUCUUCGAGGAAGAUGAUUGGCAAUGCUGAAGAACGACAUGGUCUCUACUAUCUCACUGAUUCUUCUCYAAGGCCAAAACCACAUCUAUCUCUUUUUGCGUCUAGUUCGUUGAAUUCAGAUGUAAUUCUAUGGCACAAACGCUUAGGACAUCCURGUUUUCAAUAUUUGAAACAUUUGUAUCCAAACUUAUUUCUCAAUAAAGAUCCUUCUUCUUUCCAUUGUGAGUCAUGUAUUCUUGCGAAAUAGUCCAAAAAAAAUUAUCCUAUUCACAAUUACAAACCUUCCAAACCGUUCCAUCUUGUUUACAGUGAUAUUUGGGGAGCAUCACGGGUUGUGGAUUUAACAUGCAAGAGAUGGUUCAUCACCUUCAUAGAUGACCAUACUCGUGCUUGCUGGGUCUAUCUCUUGAAGAACAAAUCUGAUGYCRGGWAUGUGUUUCAACAGUUCCAUAAAAUGAUAAAGAAUGUGUUCCAAUGCAACAUUCACAUACUCUACACAAAUAAUGGAGUACUUUGCACAGAUUCUUGGAGAUUACCUCAUUUAGAAUGGCAUAUUUCAUCAAAGCUCAUGUACAUCUACCCCACAACAAAAUGGGGUUGCAGAACGAAAAAAUCGUCAUUUGUUGGAGGUAGCUCGAUCACUCAUGUUUGCUAGUGUUGUUCCACAUCAUUUUUGGGGAGAAUUUGUAUUAACUGCUGCCUAUUUAAUCAAUAGACUUCCAUCAAAACCCCUCAAAUUUCGUACACCAGUCAGUUGUCUCCAAAAAGAAUUCCCUUGUAUUCGUUUACUCAACUCUCUCCCACCAAAAAUAUUCAGGUGUUCUGUGUUUGUUCAUAACACCAGUCCUACUUGGGGAAAAUUUGAUCCAAAGGCCAUCAAAUGUAUCUUCAUAGGAUACUCUCCCACUAAAAAAGGAUAUAAAUGUUACAAUCCUGUCACAAAAAAAWUCUAURUAUCCUAUGAUGUUACAUUCCUGGAAGAUCAAUCAUUUUAUUCCCAUGAUUCUCUUCAGGGGGAGAAAUUAAUUGAAGAUAAUC